rnacentral:rRNA from 1 species
CCUACGGGUGGCAGCAGUGGGGGAUAUUGCACAAUGGGGGAAACCCUGAUGCAGCGACGCCGCGUGUGGGAAGACGGUCCUCUGGAUUGUAAACCACUGUCCCCAGGGACGAAGAUGACGGUACCUGGGGAGGAAGCUCCGGCUAACUACGUGCCAGCAGCCGCGGUAAUACGUAGGGAGCGAGCGUUGUCCGGAAUGACUGGGUGGAAAGGGAGCGUAGGCGGGACUGCAAGUUGGUUGUCAAAUCUACCGGCUCAACCGGUAGCCGCACUCAAAACUGCAGUUCUUGAGUGAAGUAGAGGCAGGCGGAAUUCCUAGUGUAGCGGUGAAAUGCGUAGAUAUUAGGAGGAACACCAGUGGCGAAGGCGGCCUGCUGGGCUUUUACUGACGCUGAGGCUCGAAAGUGUGGGAGCAAACAGGAUUAGAUACCCGGGUAGUC